AGCUUGUUAGAUUUGUAAUAAUGAAAGUGUGUCUUAGCAAUUAAUUCGUACAGUUGGGGCAAUGCUAAUUUCUGCUAUAAAAUGAGACGCAAACAGAAGGAAUACGAACACACAGAGCUGUGGAGGCAGCAGAACAUCACCACAGAGCUGCGGAGGCAGCAGCAUCACAUACCACCACCAAACAUAAUGUUUUAGUUUGUAGUUAAAUUUGUUUAUAUUUUUGGUGUACGGUUAAAGUGUAACAGUGUGGCGAGAAGCGAAUCUGUAUUCUAUCCAUACAUCAACAUUCACGAUAUAUAUUUGUAGCUUCUCAUUGCUAAUAUUUAUUUUAAUUUUGUGUAUUAUUAUUAUUUUCAUUAUGAACUAAUUUUUUAUCCCGGGAAAUUUGAUGAAAUAAGUUAAAUUAUUGUGUGUUAAA
rnacentral:lncRNA from 1 species